rnacentral:rRNA from 1 species
CCGUGGUGAAAUCUCCGAGCUUAACUUUGGAACUGCAUUUUUAACUGCCGAGCUAGAGUAUGUCAGAGGGGGGUAGAAUUCCACGUGUAGCAGUGAAAUGCGUAGAGAUGUGGAGGAAUACCGAUGGCGAAGGCAGCCCCCUGGGAUAAUACUGACGCUCAUGCACGAAAGCGUGGGGAGCAAACA